AGCUCCGUAGUCUAGUGGCCAAGGAUGCGAGGCUCUGGACCUCGAGACCCAGGUUCGAACCAACCCUGAUAAA
rnacentral:tRNA from 1 species